rnacentral:rRNA from 1 species
UACGUAGGGUGCGAGCGUUGUCCGGAAUUAUUGGGCGUAAAGAGCUUGUAGGCGGUCUGUCGCGUCUGCUGUGAAAAUCCGGGGCUCAACCCCGGACUUGCAGUGGGUACGGGCAGACUAGAGUGUGGUAGGGGAGACUGGAAUUCCUGGUGUAGCGGUGAAAUGCGCAGAGUAUCAGGAGGAACACCGAUGGCGAAGGCAGGUCUCUGGGCCACUACUGACGCUGAGAAGCGAAAGCAUGGGGAGCGAACAGG